ACGGCUCAGUAACACGUAGUCAACAUGCCCAAAGGACGUGGAUAACCUCGGGAAACUGAGGAUAAACCGCGAUAGGUCAUAAGUACUGGAAUGUUUUAUGGCUCAAAUCUACAUGGCCUCUGGAUUGGACUGCGGCCGAUCAGGCUGUUGGUGAGGUAAUGGCCCACCAAACCUGUUACCGGUACGGGCUCUGAGAGGAGGAGCCCGGAGAUGGGCACUGAGACAAGGGCCCAGGCCCUAUGGGGCGCAGCAGGCGCGAAACCUCUGCAAUAGGCGAAAGCUUGACAGGGUUACUCUGAGUGAUUCCCGCUAAGGGAAUCUUUUGGCAUCUCUAAAAACGAUGCAGAAUAAGGGGUGGGCAAGUCUGGUGUCAGCCGCCGCGGUAAUACCAGCACCCCGAGUGGUCGGGACGAUUAUUGGGCCUAAAGCAUCCGUAGCCGGUCUUGCAAGUCUUCCGUUAAAUCCACCUGCUUAACAGAUGGGCUGCGGAAGAUACUACAAGACUAGGAGGCGGGAGAGGCAAGCGGUACUCRRUGGGUAGGGGUAAAAUCCUCUGAUCCAUUGAAGACCACCAGUGGCGAAGGCGGCUUGCCAGAACGCGCUCGACGGUGAGGGAUGAAAGCUGGGGGAGCAAACCGGAUUAGAUACCCGGGUAGUCCCAGCUGUAAACGAUGCAGACUCGGUGAUGGGCYGGCUUCRUGCCRRCYCAGUGCCGCAGGGAAGCCGUUAAGUCURCCGCCUGGGGAGUACGGUCGCAAGACUGAAACUUAAAGGAAUUGGCGGGGGAGCAC
rnacentral:rRNA from 1 species